AUUGAACGCUGGCGGCAGGCCUAACACAUGCGAGUCGAACGGUAACAGGAAGAAGCUUGCUUCUUUGCUGACGAGUGGCGGACGGGUGAGUAAUGUCUGGGAAACUGCCUGAUGGAGGGGGAUAACUACUGGAAACGGUAGCUAAUACCGCAUAACGUCGCAAGACCAAAGAGGGGGACCUUCGGGCCUCUUGCCAUCGGAUGUGCCCAGAUGGGAUUAGCUAGUAGGUGGGGUAACGGCUCACCUAGGCGACGAUCCCUAGCUGGUCUGAGAGGAUGACCAGCCACACUGGAACUGAGACACGGUCCAGACUCCUACGGGAGGCAGCAGUGGGGAAUAUUGCACAAUGGGCGCAAGCCUGAUGCAGCCAUGCCGCGUGUAUGAAGAAGGCCUUCGGGUUGUAAAGUACUUUCAGCGGGGAGGAAGGGAGUAAAGUUAAUACCUUUACUCAUUGACGUUACCCGCAGAAGAAGCACCGGCUAACUCCGUG
rnacentral:rRNA from 1 species